rnacentral:rRNA from 1 species
AUGCAUCAAGGGCAAACAACCACUAGUCACGUUGAUAAGGAGAAGAUCAUCAGCAAUCACUUCAGUUCAGUGCUUGGUUCUCAACACCAUCGUUGCACCACCCUGAAUUGGGAACAGUUGCAACUGCCAACAAUUCUAGAUGCCGUACUUGAUAAUCCAUUCACAGAGGAUGAAGUAUGGGAAGCAAUCAAGCAGUCACCACUGGAUAAGGCGCCCGGACCAGACAGGUACAUUGGAGGAUUUUAUAGAGCCUGCUGGGUGACCAUCAAGAAGGAUAUUAUGCAAGUUUUUCAGCAGUUCCAUAGGAUGGUGGGAGGGGAUCUACGGAAUUUAAACACGACCAUGGUGGCCCUUCUGCCCAAAAAAGAUCGAGCCGUCACCAUAACGGAUUACAGACACAUAAGCCUGAUUCACUCCUUUGCUAAGCUCGUUACCAAAGUCUUGUCCAUUUGGCUAUCAAAGAUCAUUGACACAAUCAUCUCUCCAGCCAGAAUGCUUUCAUGA